AAUCAACGCUGGCGGCGUGCCUAACACAUGCAAGUCGAACGCGAAAAUUCCUUCGGGGAUGAGUAGAGUGGCGUCCGGGUGAGUAACGCGUGGGUAAUCUGCCUUCGGGUGGGGAAGUAACCCAGGGAAACGUUGGGCGUAAUACCGCAUAAUGCAGCGGCUCGACAUCGAGACAGUUGUUAAAGCAGCAAUGCGCCGUGAAGAGGAGCCUGCGUCUGAUUAGCAGGUUGGUAGGUAAUGGCUUACCAAGGCGUACGAUCAGUAGCUGGUCUGAGAGGACGGCCAGCC
rnacentral:rRNA from 1 species